rnacentral:sRNA from 1 species
CAGCUCCUUCGAUGUUUUGUGUGUUGGCAGAAAAUCCAAACGGUUUGUUUGGUACGACUAAACCCUGAGCUCUCCCCUCCCCAACGGCUCAGGGUUUUUUUUGCCUGUUA